AGUUCUUCAUUAGAUUAUCAACUGAGGACUAUGACUUUGACAAUGCUUUUGGGGUUCUCUGCCGUAUAUGCAGGUUUUAAGUUCUGAUUUUUAGUGAAGAUGCUACUAAGCUUCCUCUGCCAUAUCCCAAAGUCGGAUAUCUUAUUGUACCACCAGUACGGAAACCAAUUGCAUGUCAUAGUGAUUGGCUAUGACCACAAUUUAUUUUGAACAAUGAAGGACUUCAACAUCAGGUCACCAAAGGUGACGAAAAGCAAGCAGAAGAUCAAGAGAUACAACUAUGAAAGUUAAUAUUCCAGAUAUAUGUUCUGUUACAGUUUGCCACCAAAUAUGAAAUCAAUAAAAUUUAUGGGGUACCAAAUUUCUUGCCGCAGUUUAUCGACCCAAAGCAGGGACAAAGAAGAAUGAAAAUCCUGAAAAAGCUUGCAUUGAGGUUAUUUGGAAGCCUAAAACAAGCCAGAGUGGAAAAACAUAAAGGGAAUAUGAGAUGAUAUUGAAAAGGACCUUGCAAAGCAUUUGUAUAUGGACAUCGGACUGUGUUACUUAGAAGGUAUGAGUUGCCAAGACAUGGAACUCUGUUUUAGUUUUAAGCCUUGGCAUGGAAAUGCUUCUCCCAAUUCAAACUUAUGUAUUAAAGACAAAUAAGCAAGAUACUACUGUAGUUUCUCCAACCCAUAAGAUUAUUGAUUCUGCAUCAGAAUAUUAUGCGUUUUGAAAAAAGAAAUGACGAAGGAAAGCCCACAUUACACUGAUGGGGUUCACUCUUCUCUCUUCGAUUACUGAUUCAGUGCAGCACAAUAGAACAGCUUCAAGUCUGAGAUUAUUUGAGGAUCUCUACUUACAGAGGUUGCUCUCUAGGUUAGUCAAGUAACUAAAUCUAUGUUUUAGUUGAAUUUGUGAUCUUCUUUCUCACAUCAAAUGAAUUUCCUUUCUAACA